GAUGAAGAACGUAGCGAAAUGCGAUAAGUAAUGCGAAUUGCAGAAUUCCAGUGAAUCAUCGAAUCUUUGAACGCACAUUGCGCCCUUUGGUAUUCCAAAGGGCAUGCCUGUUCGAGCGUCAUUUGUACCCUCAAGCUUUGCUUGGUGUUGGGCGUCUUGUCUCUAGCUUUGCUGGAGACUCGCCUUAAAGUAAUUGGCAGCCGGCCUACUGGUUUCGGAGCGCAGCACAAGUCGCACUCUCUAUCAGCAAAGGUCUAGCAUCCAUUAAGCCUUUUUUUCAACUUUUGACCUCGGAUCAGGUAGGGAUACCCGCUGAACUUAAGCAUAUCAAUAAGCGGAGGA
rnacentral:misc_RNA from 1 species